AUUGUGUACAGGUUCCUCAGCUCUUCUGCCUCAGAAGGAGAGCGCCCGACCCACUGGCUGUCUCCAGAAAUAUCUUUCUCCAGGACUUGCAUCCAGUUAAGUCACCCAAAAAAACAAGUUUUCAGCAUCAAUCUCAGUUCUUGAGAUUUGCCCCAGGCAAACCCCAUCAAAACUCCUUUUAGGCCACCUUGGCUUUGAAGACAAACCCGGGCUGUGAAACCUCCUUUUGUGCAGCUGCCUGGCAGUAGCCUGCAUGGGAAGCCGCAGUACUAAUUGGGACCUGCAGACAUUGCAGGAGGAAGUCUGCCUCCCCGGCUGGUGCUCCUGAUGGGAUCGUUCGGUCAGUCUUGGCAAAAACAGCAGGGAAGAGUGAGCUGGGAGACCAGAGUUUGCCAGCGCUGUUGUUGAGACUGUUUCCUUGUGUAGCUGCUGUCAGCAUCCCUGUUCCAGCUGGAACUGGCCCCUGCACCAUCCACAGCUCCAGCCGCAUGUUCCAGAACUGUUGCUGCAAGCAGGUCUUUUUGCAGAGAGAAGAGUACAAGGCUCUUUGA
rnacentral:lncRNA from 1 species